rnacentral:piRNA from 1 species
UGCCUUGAUCUUGGCCAACCCUCCUCAGG